GGGUAGCGGCCCUGCGCGUCCUUGGUAAGGACGAGACCGGGGGUUCAAAUCCCCCCUC
rnacentral:tRNA from 1 species